rnacentral:rRNA from 1 species
AUUGAACGCUGGCGGCAUGCUUUACACAUGCAAGUCGAACGGUAACAGGCCGCAAGGUGCUGACGAGUGGCGAACGGGUGAGUAAUGCAUCGGAACGUGCCCAGUCGUGGGGGAUAACGCAGCGAAAGCUGUGCUAAUACCGCAUACGAUCUAUGGAUGAAAGCGGGGGACCGUAAGGCCUCGCGCGAUUGGAGCGGCCGAUGUGAGAUUAGUGAGUUGGUGGGGUAAAGGCCUACCAAGCCGACAAUCUGUAGCUGGUCUGAGAGGACGACCAGCCACACUGGGACUGAGACACGGCCCAGACUCCUACGGGAGGCAGCAGUGGGGAAUUUUGGACAAUGGGCGCAAGCCUGAUCCAGCAAUGCCGCGUGCAGGAAGAAGGCCUUCGGGUUGUAAACUGCCUUUGUACGGAACGAAACGGUCUGGGUUAAUACCCUGGGCUAAUGACGGUACCGUAAGAAUAAGCACCGGCUAACUACGUGCCAGCAGCCGCGGUAAAAC